GCAGUGACGCAGUUGUUGUUGACGUUAGGUUCGCAGCUUUCCUAGAAAUGAAACUUUACUGGACAAGGACAAGGUUCUUUCUAUCGAAAAAGAAAAUUGGGUAUGGACAAAAAAUAACGUAAUUUGCUCUGAACACUUUAAAGCGGAUGAUUUUCUCCCCUUUUGUGGAAGAAAAAUAGUACGACCCAACUCUGCACCUUCCAUAAAAUUAUUUUGUGGUGUAUCUUCUUCCAUUUUAAGCAAGAGUACUUUAUCGAGUUCAAUUAAUACAGGAGCUUUGACCAAAUUGAUGUUACAAUCAAGUGAAUCAUCUUUGACCUAUAACGUUACUGAAGUUCGAGUAGGUACAACGUAAAAAGAAGAGACAACUGAAUUUAAGUGUUCAGAAUACAUCGAAUGGUAACACUAGUACUGAUAGUAGUGCUAAGAGAAGGAGUAUUAUGGCAAUGAAAACAUACUUUAAUGGAUAACUUUAAUAAUGAAAAUAUCUUUGCAGUACAUCUCCUUCAACAGUUGCAACGAAAAAUGUUAAACUGAAACGUAGACAG